ensembl:lncRNA
GGGAGAAAGGUUAGAGAGGGGGAAUAUCACCUUGACAACGGCCCACAUCGUUUAUGCCCCGCCAUCGCUCCAUCUGUCUCCUGUUUUUAUUUUUGUAUUUUUUUUGGGAGGAGGGUGUUUUUUCUCGGCACGGCUACGAUCCAACAGGGGCAGUGAGCUGGAGGCCCAGUAGUAGUCUGCGAGCCCGUGCCCAGGAACACCUGGUUAGCACCGUGAUGAAGGACAGCCAGAGUCGGCCAACCGGUGUUCAGCAUCGCUCUGCCCCGCCCACUGUGAGAAGAGACAUUUCUACUUACAAGCCAGGAUUAUCAGGAUCACCACGGUACCCCCUCUCUGCUCGGUCCACCUCGGCCCGGCGCCCCGCUCCGGCAGAGGAACUCUCCCCCC